ACUCCGAGAACAGGAUAGAAACGAAAAAAAAAACAGAGGAGAAUAAUCCUUUUGUUUCUGGUUCUUCCUUGACGAGGUAGCAGAAGCUCGAGCUAAAAAACUCUGGCAGUGGAGAGGUCAAAAAGAGUUCUGAUCUCCGAAGGCGUCGAUUUCGGGGAAUAAGCGGACACGGAGUCGAAUCUCCGACUCCUCCUAGCUUUUGAUGAGCCUCCAAGUAUAUGGAAGGUGGCAGUUGGCAAACCGG
rnacentral:lncRNA from 1 species